AGGAAACAGCUUGCUGUUUCGCUGACGAGUGGCGGACGGGUGAGUAAUGUCUGGGAAACUGCCUGAUGGAGGGGGAUAACUACUGGAAACGGUAGCUAAUACCGCAUAACGUCGCAAGACCAAAGAGGGGGACCUUCGGGCCUCUUGCCAUCGGAUGUGCCCAGAUGGGAUUAGCUAGUAGGUGGGGUAACGGCUCACCUAGGCGACGAUCCCUAGCUGGUCUGAGAGGAUGACCAGCCACACUGGAACUGAGACACGGUCCAGACUCCUACGGGAGGCAGCAGUGGGGAAUAUUGCACAAUGGGCGCAAGCCUGAUGCAGCCAUGCCGCGUGUAUGAAGAAGGCCUUCGGGUUGUAAAGUACUUUCAGCGGGGAGGAAGGGAGUAAAGUUAAUACCUUUGCUCAUUGACGUUACCCGCAGAAGAAGCACCGGCUAACUCCGUGCCAGCAGCCGCGGUAAUACGGAGGGUGCAAGCGUUAAUCGGAAUUACUGGGCGUAAAGCGCACGCAGGCGGUUUGUUAAGUCAGAUGUGAAAUCCCCGGGCUCAACCUGGGAACUGCAUCUGAUACUGGCAAGCUUGAAUUCUCGAAAGGGGGGUAGAAAUUUCCAUGUGUAGCG
rnacentral:rRNA from 1 species